GAGGACCUACGGGGCGCAGCAGUGGGGGAUAUUGCACAAUGGGGGGAACCCUGAUGCAGCGACGCCGCGUGGGUGAAGAAGCGCCUCGGCGCGUAAAGCCCUGUCAGCAGGGAAGAAAAUGACGGUACCUGAAGAAAAAGCCCCGGCUAACUACGUGCCAGCAGCCGCGGUAAUACGUAGGGGGCAAGCGUUAUCCGGAUUUACUGGGUGUAAAGGGGGCGCAGACGGCGAUGCAAGCCAGGAGUGAAAGACCGGGGCCCAACCCCGGGCCUGCUCUUGGAACUGCGUGGCGGG
rnacentral:rRNA from 1 species